rnacentral:rRNA from 1 species
UACAGGGGGGGCAAGCGUUGUUCGGAAUUACUGGGCGUAAAGGGUUCGUAGGUGGCCAACUAAGUCAGACGUGAAAUCCCUCAGCUUAACUGGGGAACUGCGUCUGAUACUGGAUGGCUUGAGUGUAGGAGAGGAAUGCGGAAUUCCAGGUGUAGCGGUGAAAUGCGUAGAUAUCUGGAGGAACACCGGUGGCGAAGGCGGCAUUCUGGACUACAACUGACACUGAGGUGCGAAAGCUAGGGGAGCGAACGGG